rnacentral:rRNA from 1 species
CAGCAGCCGCGGGAAUACGAAGGGGGCUAGCGUUGCUCGGAAUGACUGGGCGUAAAAGGCGCGUAGGCGGCAUACACAGUCAGAUGUGAAAUUCCUGGGCUUAACCUGGGGGCUGCAUUUGAUACGUGUAGGCUAGAGUGGGGAAGAGGGUUGUGGAAUUCCCAGUGUAGAGGUGAAAUUCGUAGAUAUUGGGAAGAACACCGGUGGCGAAGGCGGCAACCUGGUCCUUGACUGACGCUGAGGCGCGAAAGCGUGGGGAGCAAACAGGAUUAGAUACCCCCGUAGUCCCUGUCUCUUAUAC